GAUGAAGAACGUAGCGAAACGCGAUAAGUAAUGUGAAUUGCAGAAUCCAGUGAAUCAUCGAAUCUUUGAACGCACAUUGCGCCCGCCAGCAUUCUGGCGGGCAUGCCUGUUCGAGCGCCAUUUCAACCCUCGACCUCCCCUUGGGGAGGUCGGCGUUGGGGACCGGCAGCACACCGCCGGCCCUGAAAUGGAGUGGCGGCCCGUCCGCGGCGACCUCUGCGCAGUAAUACAGCUCGCACCGGGACCCCGACGCGGCCACGCCGUAAAACACCCAACUUCUGAACGUUGACCUCGAAUCAGGUAGGACUACCCGCUGAACUUAAGCAUAUCAAUAAGCGGAGGA
rnacentral:misc_RNA from 1 species